rnacentral:lncRNA from 1 species
AGCUUUUUCCAUGCAAUCAGCAUUAGGGUUUUAAACCUUAAACUGAAUUUUCCUUUUAGUCAGCAUUAGGGUUUUAAACCCUAAACUGAAUUUUCCUUUUAGUCAGCGUUAGGGUUUUAAACCCUAAACUGAAUUUUCCUUUUAGUCAGCAUUAGGGGUUUUAAACCCUAAACUGAAUUUUCCUUUUAGUCAGCGUUAGGGUUUUAAACCCUAAACUGAAUUUUCCUUUUAGUCAGCGUUAGGGUUUUAAACCCUAAACUGAGCUUUUCCAUGCAAUCAGCAUUAGGGUUUUAAACCCUAAACUGAAUUUUCCUUUCAGCCAGCAUUAGAGUUUUAAACUCUAAAUUGAGCUUUUCCAUGCAAUCAACAUUAGGGUUUUAAACCCUAAACUGAAUUUUCCUUUCAGCCAGCAUUAGAGUUUUAAACUUUAAACUGAGCUUUUUCCAUGCAAUCAGCAUUAGGGUUUUAAACCCUAAACUGAAUUUCCCUUUUAGUCAGCAUUAGGGUUUUAAACCCUAAACUGAGCUUUUUCCAUGCAAUCAGCAUUAGGGUUUUAAACCCUAAACUGAAUUUUCCUUUUAGUCAGCAUUAGGGUUUUAAACUCUAAACUGAGCUUUUUCCAUGCAAUCAGCAUUAGGGUUUUAAACCUUAGACUGAAUUUUCCUUUUAGUCAGCAUUAGGGUUUUAAACCCUAAACUGAAUUUUCCUUUUAGUCAGCAUUAGGGUUUUAAACCCUAAACUGAACUUUUUCUUCCAGCCAACAUUAGGGUUUUGAACCCUAAACUGAAUUC